rnacentral:piRNA from 1 species
UGAUAGGUUGAAGGUUCCUCAGCAAGUGCU